rnacentral:ncRNA from 1 species
UUGUAUAAAAGGCAAACCACUCGAAAGGGUGGGACGCAAAGCCAUGGGUCUAAACCUUUAAGGCAUGACUGCCAGGCUGCCGUG